ensembl:lncRNA
CCCAAACCACCACCUGGGAUAUCCCGCAGGUCCUCAGGAGGCAUCCCUGCGGAGGGGAAACCAAAGGAAGAGGAGGCUUUGCCACCUCUCGCCCAGGGCAAGAAAGGUAAAGCAGCAUCCAGCGCCUUUCCAAAGCACAAGCCACCAACUUGAGAUGGGAAAUCCCUUGCUGAACAUCAGCCAAGGGCUCUGACUUACGUCAAAGCUUCACGCCAGCUCAGCACGGCCUCUUCCCACGAGGAAUUGUUGGCCUCUCCAAAACCAAGGCGCUGGCUGUGACGUGCCCCCAUCCCUGGCUAUGGCAGGAGCACCUCGGCACCUUAGGCCCCGCCCUCCCCCAACAAAAGGAUAUGGUCCCCAAAAGUCACCCUGUCAGCUCAUCGUCACCACCCAGCUCCGCUUUCCCAAAGCCACCGUCACUAAUGCACUCCCAAAAGAGAGUCCCAAGAUGGCAGAGAGGAGAAGUGGGGCCAGAGAUGGUUUCAGGGAGGGUCCGCGGGCGGCACAGAUGUCAGCAGUGGGGGGAGCAGAGCGGCCCUCUUGCAUGUUCUGGGAACAGGCCUGAGCGCCCCUGGUGAGUGAGCCAAAGGGUUGACGGUAAGUCUCCUCUGCCUUCCCAAUCCCAGUGAGAUUUGCUGGCAAGCCAACCUUCAUCAAACGCUUGAGCUCGGACAGUCUAGAUGGAGGAAAACUCCGAAGGAUAAGGAGCUUACUGCGCAAGGAGAGCUCUACGUCCAGGUGAGGCUGGAGGCUCUGGCUUGGCAUGUGCAUGGGGGUGAUUGACUGAGCCAACGAGAGUCCAUUCCCUAGCCCCAAAGGGUCCCUGUUUCUGGCUGCCCAACAGUGCUGGGAUGGGGACGCCAGGAGCCCCCCAGCUCACAGGGCUGGCCCCUCUCUGGAUCCCACGGGGGAGAGCCACGGGGCAGCCGCUGAGCUGUCUGUGGGGAAGGCUGCAUUGCAGCCAAGGGUCCUGGCUCCGGCUUGCAGGACGCGGCCCCAAAACCAUCACCCACUCAGGCGGACCCCUCCUGCUCUGUCCUUUCAGUCUGCUGCCAGCCAUCCCUGGAGUGCCUGAAGACCAAAAGCAGCCGCUGACCUGCCAGCUGCAGGGCCAGGCAGAAACAGACAGCCAAGAAGACCUGGGCCGAGCCCCGGGAACCAAACACGUGAGCUUCCGUGAGGAAGAACGGGAAGCGGAAAAAGCCCAUCGUGUGGCUGCGGUGCUGAAGUUGCCCAAAGCCAACGAAUCUUUCAGCAACAAUUCCAGACCUUCCUCAAGGGCUCAGUCCAGCCCGUCGCAGGCAUCGCAAGGCACUCCAUCCCGGCUUCCACUUCUGGCAUGCGACUCAGUCAGACUUCUCAGGCGCAGGGCUAAGAAGAGCAGGCAGAAAGAACCUGAGGAGAUGGAAGCAUCAACAUCUCAGGCUGAGGCCAGCCAGCCGCAGGAGUCCUCUGCUGACAGAGCUGGAUUUCUGCCACCGAUAAACGAAGAAACACAGUCUCCUCAGCGUCAGCCUCCAAACAGCAAAGCCCCACCGCGCAGGAAGGGCACACACUACCCACGCUGAUGCAGGCAUGGGGCGCCCAUGAGCUCCAAGACCUCCACUCGAGCUGGCUGCAAAACAGAUGCUUGAAUCCCAUCUGCAUCAUAUCUAAUCCUAGACUAGGCUGCCGAGUGCCCAAUCCAACCUGGCCUUCAACACUGCCACGGACGCGGCGUCCACAAGCUCUCUGGGCAUCCGCUUCCAGCAUCUCACCACCGUCUCUGGAAAGACCUUCUCCCUGACAUCCAAUCUUCAUUGUCCCUCCCUCUGUCAAUAAAGCCUUACCAUGGCCCUAUCCCAUAGAAAUCUCCACAAUGCCUGUGGCAGUGUCAUUGCGUCUUUGGACGCCAGCUCUGGUGCUGGCGGAGGGAGAAAGAAUUGUGAGAGGGCAUCAGAACAUCUCACGAUGCUUUCCUUGAUGCCAAAGGAAAUCCAGCGUCUCGCUUGGCUCGGCUGUCUGAGCUUUUCUGCUGAAGGGGAAGACCAAAAAUGAAGUCAGCUUCAAAUUGGUGUGGCAGCUCAGAG